rnacentral:rRNA from 1 species
CAGCCGCCGCGGUAAUACGUAGGUGGCAAGCGUUGUCCGGAAUUAUUGGGCGUAAAGGGCUCGCAGGCGGUUUCUUAAGUCUGAUGUGAAAGCCCCCGGCUCAACCGGGGAGGGUCAUUGGAAACUGGGAAACUUGAGUGCAGAAGAGGAGAGUGGAAUUCCACGUGUAGCGGUGAAAUACGUAGAGAUGUGGAGGAACACCAGUGGCGAAGGCGACUCUCUGGUCUGUAACUGACGCUGAGGAGCGAAAGCGUGGGGAGUGAACAGGAUUAGAUACCCCUGUAGUCCCUGUCUCUUAUAC